rnacentral:misc_RNA from 1 species
ACAUUUCACCAGUACUCGUGCUCGUACCUAUUCACAUUGUCGCAUUUCGUCGUGUCUCAAGUGUGCGUGUGUUUUUUGUGUGGCUUACUCAAUGUUUAACUUUUAAAAAAGAAAAAAUAUAUAUUUAUUUGUGUUGAAAAAACCGAGAUUCCAAAGCCAUUGGACGACGACAUGGGUUUCAGUUCGCGCAUGGACUGCUGCGGGCAGUUCGUCAAGUACAGCCUGUUCAUUUCGAAUUUGAUAAUAUUUAUUGGCGGCGCAACGGUCUUUACGCUUACACUAUGGACGCUCGUGGAUCGCAGUUUUAUGAAUGAGUUGUUGGGCACGAAUCUCUUCUCGGGCGCCGUUUAUGUCUUAUUGGUUACGUCUGUGGCGAUUUGUUUGCUCUCGUUUUUGGGUUGUGUGGGUGCGGGUAAAGAGGUCAAAUGCUUGUUGUUAACGUAUUUUAUAAUUGUGGCGCUGGUGUUUGUGACGAUGUUAAUCGGCGGCAUACUGGGCUAUGUCUUUAGGGAACGUGUGCAGCAAACAAUGAGACAGGAAAUGCGCGCCACCAUGGCACUCUACGGAAGCCGUCGUGACGUCACUUUAGCGUGGGAUCAAACGCAAGAGCGUCUGCAGUGCUGCGGUGUUGACACCUGGCACGAUUGGAAUCGCUACGGCCCCGUACCAGAGUCCUGCUGUCAGGAAUUGUUCGGAGGACAACGCAAAGACUGCAGCAUCUUCCCGACAAUAACAAAUCUCUACAGUCAGGGCUGUCUGUAUGUGACGACAAACUUCAUACGCGAUCAUGCGGCGUUAAUUGGCGGCACUGCCAUAGCGGUGGCCAUAUUAAUGAUAUUUGGCAUGAUAUUCUCUUGUCUGCUAUUUAAUAUGAUUGAAUAGUUGGGUUGUCAAAGAGUAGGCGUAAAGUCGAGAAAUAAGAAAAAGUGUUGGAAGUUGCAGAAUUAUUAGAAGAGCAAGCAUAUACAACUGAUCAGCAACAAAUAAGCGCUUACACACACACACAUACAAAUACACGUAUACACACAAAGACACAUAUUCAUACAAUAUAAAGCAAAUUCAUACACUGUUAUGCAAAUUCAUAUGAGCAUGCCAACACAAGCCCAAAAUCUAAACACGCACCUUUACUUAAAAAUACAUACACGCAAAGCGACACAAAUCCAACAAAAACCGUUGGCAGUUUAUUAAAAAAGACCGCACAAAUUAUACUCAAAACAAAAUUAAAUCAAACUUUAUGGCUUAACGCCUGAAAGUAGGCCACUAAACUGCGCCAACGCGCUGGAAACCUCUGUCAUAUGCGUAAAAUUAAUUUUUUGCAUGCUGUACCAUUUAUCACACAGUCCCAUUAAUUGUAAAAUUAUUUUAAGCAAGUUUUGUUUGUAAAUUAAAUAUUGCUCAUUCAAGUUCUUGCGUUACGAAACGCUGCUGUAUCAAAAAAAGUAUUAUUUUCGAAUUUGUAAGUGCAUAAUAAAUACGUAUAUGUAUACUUGUAAAAUAUUUGUCAUUGUUGUAAGGCAUUGCACUAACUUUUAAAAUUUAUUCUAUGUAUAAAUAUUUACUUUAAACCAUAUAAUGUAUGUAUUUGAGCAGCUGGCCGCCUGAAGGUAUGCUACGCAGUGAUAAUGUGCUAAUUAUGAAAUAUGUUUGAAACAAAAGCAUGCCUAAAGGUAUGCUACCAGAGCCUAAAGGUAUGCUACGAAGAUUUGUGCUAUUUACGAAAUAAAUUUGUAACAAAAGCGUGCUUUGUUGUAAUUUAGAAAAUCACUCACAUACUUUUACUCAAUUAAAUUUCUCUUAAGCAGCCAGCUGUGCCUUACUAACGUCAGCUUAAAUACAUAAAUAAACAUACAAACGAUUAGUUAUAUUUUUUAGUUGUACUUAGUUUCAUUACAAAAUGUUUUCGUUAAAAUUUUAAUAUGCUCCAAAAUCUAUAAAUUAAUAGCUAAUAUAGUUUAUUGAUAACAUAAAACAGUGAAACUGUAAUUCAUGCUGUUACAUGUAAUUUACAUAGCUUUUAAGUCUAUAUAUGUACGUACUAAAUACCUGUAUACCGUACUUAAGCAAUACCGUAUUCAUUAAUGCAUAAGACUACAAUAUCGUAUACUUUGUCCUGCAUAUAUCGUCUGUUAUUUCAACAUAUCAUAAUUAUAAGUACAUAUAUUUGAAUAUUUCUGUUCUGUAAUAAAAUAUAAUUUCUUCAUCUCCUGUA